GAUGAACGCUGGCGGCGUGCCUAAUACAUGCAAGUCGAGCGAACAGACGAGGAGCUUGCUCCCCUGACUUUAGCGGCCGACGGGUGCGUAACACGUGGAUAACCUACCUAUCAGACUGGGAUAACUUCGGGAAACCGGAUCUACUACCCGAUAAUUUAUUGCACCUCAUUGUUCAAUAGUUAGAGUCGGUUUUUCUGUGACUAAUAGCUGGAUCCGCCCUGCAUUAGCUAGGUGGUAAGGUAACUGCUUACCAAGGCAACGAUGCUUACCCGACCUGAGAGGGAGAUCGGCCACACUGGAACAGAGACACGGUACAGACUCCUGCGGGAGGCAGCAGUAGGGAAUCUUACGCAAUGGGCGAAAGCCGGACGGAGCAACGCCGCGUGAGUGAUGAAGGUCUUCGGAUCGUAAAACGCUGUUAGUAGGGAAGAACAAAAGUGUAAGUAACUAUGCACGUCUUGACGGUACCUAAUCAGAAAGCCACGGCUAACUACGUG
rnacentral:rRNA from 1 species